GGCACCCUGGGGUCUGGGAGGAGGAAGAAAAGGGUCCUGGAUGACGGAGGAAUCCUGCGUGGUGCUGACGCGGAGGAAUUGGCCGCAAGGUCACUUCCUGCAAGGUGCUGCGGCCCCACAGCCUCAGUCAGCGAAGAAGCAGCAGAGGAAGAGAUUGCACCGCUGGGCUCUCCAUGGGGAGCAGUUCUCGUGCUGGAAGAUGUGGUGAGGCUCUGUGAGAGGACGUGACGUGGCUCGUGGACUCCAGCUGACCCUCGUCCCACCUGCUGUCCACCUGCACCCGACCUGGGGAGGGCCUAGUGGUGGCCGCCAUGGUGGACCCACUUGGGGCUGGCUGGGUUCCAGGUGGAGUUGGUGCCGCCCCCAGAGUUCCUGGACUUUGAGCCUCACUGGAGGAGUUCACAGACCCACUAGACUUCACCAGCACCAUGCAACCUGUGACCAAGAACACGGACAUCUACAAGUGGGCAGCUUAUAUCGUGGAAAGAAACCUCGAAGGCCUAAAGAAAGAAAACACUUGUGAUGGGCAAAAGGAUGCCUCUCUGCACGUGGGACCUGAAGUGGCAGUAUGUCACAUACCAGUCUCCUUCAUGCCCCCUUAGAGCCCAGGCUGAAGAGAAACUCAUA